UACGAAGGGGGCUAGCGUUGCUCGGAAUUACUGGGCGUAAAGCGUGCGCAGGCGGUUUUGUAAGCCAGAUGUGAAAUCCCCGGGCUUAACCUGGGAAUGGCAUUUGGGACUGCAAGGCUUGAGUGCGGCAGAGGAGACUGGAAUUCCUGGUGUAGCAGUGAAAUGCGUAGAUAUCGGAAGGAACACCAGUGGCGAAAGCGGCUUCCUGGUCCAGCACCGACGUUCAGGCACGAAAGCGUGGGGAGCAAACAGG
rnacentral:rRNA from 1 species